GAUUUCUGGCUUCACACAUUUAGCCGGCCACGGUUUCGUGUGUUAGUGUUAGAUGUUGUGGCCAUCCUUCCAAUUGCUAUUGGCUUAUCUUCAUUGAUUGGUCAGUAGUAUUGGAUCUUUUACUUUGAAAAAAUUAGAGUGUUUCAAGCAGGCUUUAUGCUAUGAAUACAUUAGCAUGGAAUAAUAAUUUAGGACUUCGGUUCUAUUUUGUUGGUUUCUAGGACUGAAGUAAUGAUUGAUAGGGAUAGUUGGGGGUGCUAGUAUUCAGCGGCCAGAGGUGAAAUUCUCGGAUUCGCUGAAGACUAACUUAUGCGAAAGCAUU
rnacentral:rRNA from 1 species